rnacentral:snRNA from 1 species
AGCUUUGCACAGUGGCAGUAUCAUAUAGCCAAUGAGGUUUAUCCGAGACAUGAUUAUUGCUAAUUAUAUAUACUGUUGAAAAACUUGGUCUGAAUAGGAAAUGUUUUGAAUAAUAUUUGAUGU